rnacentral:rRNA from 1 species
CCUACGGGUGGCAGCAGUGAGGAAUAUUGGUCAAUGGACGAGAGUCUGAACCAGCCAAGUAGCGUGAAGGAUGACUGCCCUAUGGGUUGUAAACUUCUUUUAUAAAGGAAUAAAACGAGGCACGUGUGCCUUUUUGCAUGUACUUUAUGAAUAAGGAUCGGCUAACUCCGUGCCAGCAGCCGCGGUAAUACGGAGGAUCCGAGCGUUAUCCGGAUUUAUUGGGUUUAAAGGGAGCGUAGAUGGGUUGUUAAGUCAGUUGUGAAAGGUUGCGGCUCAACCGUAAAAUUGCAAUUGAUACUGGCAGUCUUGAGUACAGUUGAGGUAGGCGGAAUUCGUGGUGUAGCGGUGAAAUGCUUAGAGAUCACGAAGAACCCCGAUUGCGAAGGCAGCUUACUAAACUGUGACUGACAUUGAUGCUCGAAAGUGUGGGUAUCAAACAGGAUUAGAUACCCGUGUAGUC